GUUGUGGUUAUAGCUCGUAGUUGAACCUUGGGCCUGGCUGGCCGGUCCGCCUCACCGCGAGUACUGGCUCGGCCGGGCCUUUCCCCCUGUGGAACCCCAUGCCCUUUACUGGGCGUGGCGGGAAAACAGGACUUUUACUUUGAAAAAAUUAGAGUGCUCCAGGCAGGCCUAUGCUCGAAUACAUUAGCAUGGAAUAAUAGAAUAGGACGUGUGGUUCUAUUUUGUUGGUUUCUAGGACCGCCGUAAUGAUUAAUAGGGACAGUCGGGGGCAUCAGUAUUCAAUUGUCAGAGGUGAAAUUCUUGGAUUUAUUGAAGACUAACUACUGCGAAAGCAUUUGCCAAGGAUGUUUUCAUUAAUCAGGAACGAAAGUUAGGGGAUCGAAGACGAUCAGAUACCGUCGUAGUCUUAACCAUAAACUAUGCCGACUAGGGAUCGGACGAUGUUAUUUUUUGACUCGUUCGGCACCUUACGAGAAAUCAAAGUGCUUGGGCUCCAGGGGGAGUAUGGUCGCAAGGCUGAAACUUAAAGAAAUUGACGGAAGGGCACCACCAGGGGUGGAGCCUGCGGCUUAAUUUGACUCAACACGGGGAAACUCACCAGGUCCAGACACAAUGAGGAUUGACAGAUUGAGAGCUCUUUCUUGAUUUUGUGGGUGGUGGUGCAUGGCCGUUCUUAGUUGGUGGAGUGAUUUGUCUGCUUAUUUGCGAUAACGAACGAGACCUUAACCUGCUAAAUAGCCCGUAUUGCUUUGGCAGUACGCUGGCUUCUAGAGGGACUAUCGGCUCAAGCCGAUGGCAAGUUUGAGGCAAUAACAUGGUCUGGUGAUGACCCAUU
rnacentral:rRNA from 1 species